CUCAUUAAAUCAGUUAUAGUUUAUUUGAUGGUCUCUUUGUUCUUCUUUUUACCUACUUGGAUAACCGUGGUAAUUCUAGAGCUAAUACAUGCGCAAGGUCCCGAGCGCGGAGGGUAGGGCUUCACGGCUCUAUUCUUGCAUGCGUAGAGGGAUGUAUUUAUUAGGUUAAACAACCAGCAUCUUUUCAUUUCUGGUGAUUCAUAGUAACUCUUUCGGAUCGCAUUCAUG
rnacentral:rRNA from 1 species